CGCGCAGGUGGCGCAGCGCGGCGUAAAGCGUGGUGGUCUUGCCCGAUCCGGUCGGGCCGGAGAGAAUGACAAUGCCGUUCGGAUCGGCCAGCGCGUC
rnacentral:tRNA from 1 species